ACUUCGGUGGUGUAGUGGUAACACACGCCCUCGGUACGGAUGAAACGCUGCUUCAACUCCCGUCUGAAGUC